rnacentral:rRNA from 1 species
UGGGGAAUUUUGGACAAUGGACGCAAGUCUGAUCCAGCCAUGCCGCGUGCGGGAAGAAGGCCUUCGGGUUGUAAACCGCUUUUGUCAGGGAAGAAAAGGCUCCGGAUAAUACCUGGGGCUCAUGACGGUACCUGAAGAAUAAGCACCGGCUAACUACGUGCCAGCAGCCGCGGUAAUACGUAGGGUGCGAGCGUUAAUCGGAAUUACUGGGCGUAAAGCGUGCGCAGGCGGUUUUGUAAGACAGAGGCGAAAUCCCCGGGCUCAACCUGGGAAUUGCCUUUGUGACUGCAAGGCUUGAGUGCGGCAGAGGGGGAUGGAAUUCCGCGUGUAGCAGUGAAAUGCGUAGAUAUGCGGAGGAACACCGAUGGCGAAGGCAAUCCCCUGGGCCUGUACUGACGCUCAUGCACGAAAGCGUGGGGAGCAAACA